rnacentral:rRNA from 1 species
GAUGAACGCUGGCGGCGUGCUUAACACAUGCAAGUCGAACGGAGUUUACCACCAUGAUUUCUUCGGAAUGAUAAUGGUAAACUUAGUGGCGGACGGGUGAGUAACGCGUGGGUAACCUGCCUCACACUGGGGGACAACAGUUGGAAACGACUGCUAAUACCGCAUAAGCGCACAGCUUCGCAUGAAGCAGUGUGAAAAACUCCGGUGGUAUACGAUGGACCCGCGUCUGAUUAGCUAGUUGGUGAGAUAGCGGCCCACCAAGGCAACGAUCAGUAGCCGGCCUGAGAGGGUGAACGGCCACAUUGGGACUGAGAUACGGCCCAGACUCCUACGGGAGGCAGCAGUGGGGAAUAUUGGGGCAAUGGGCGCAAGCCUGACCCAGCAACGCCGCGUGAAGGAAGAAGGCUUUCGGGUUGUAAACUUCUUUGUCAGGGAAGAUGAAGAGACUGUACCUGACGAAUAAGCCACGGCUAACUACGUG